rnacentral:lncRNA from 1 species
AGGGGGAGAGAGGAGAGUUUUUUGGGGAGAGAAAAUUUUCUACGACGGACAGAGGAGAGUUUGAAAAUUGGGCAGCCAAAUUUUAUAUAGACGCACGGAAAUCGGAGAAGGAGAAUUGGAAUUCAAUUGGGAAGGAAAGGUGGUGGCUAAUUUUCACAUGCUGGAUAAAUUGAGAGCUUUGGGGGCCAAUUGUUGACAAUUAUACACACAGAAAAUAGAGAACAAUCGCUGUGACUUGGGAGGAAAAAUUAAGUACAAACUGCUGGAAUUAAUUACCACACAAACGGAGAUACAAAAGACGACAGCAAAAUGGAGAUUGAUGUGCCAAAAGUCUAAUCAUGUUCCGUUAAAACCCGGUGAUAUCUUCCAUGAAUUUAUUUUGCUUCUCUUAUAAAUAUGAGUAGCUAAAUUUAUUUUUAGGGCGAACAACGUAACUUAUUUGGAACCAUUUAUUUCGUUGAAUUAAGAUUCUAGUGCUUUUAGAUUUUAUGUGUUAAUUUUAAUGUUGUUCUUAUUACAUUUAAGUACUUGAUCA